AUGCGCGNCCUAUCAUGCAGUCGAGCGAACAGACGAGGAGCUUGCUCCUCUGACGUUAGCGGCGGACGGGUGAGUAACACGUGGAUAACCUACCUAUAAGACUGGGAUAACUUCGGGAAACCGGAGCUAAUACCGGAUAAUAUAUUGAACCGCAUGGUUCAAUAGUGAAAGACGGUUUUGCUGUCACUUAUAGAUGGAUCCGCGCCGCAUUAGCUAGUUGGUAAGGUAACGGCUUACCAAGGCAACGAUGCGUAGCCGACCUGAGAGGGUGAUCGGCCACACUGGAACUGAGACACGGUCCAGACUCCUACGGGAGGCAGCAGUAGGGAAUCUUCCGCAAUGGGCGAAAGCCUGACGGAGCAACGCCGCGUGAGUGAUGAAGGUCUUCGGAUCGUAAAACUCUGUUAUUAGGGAAGAACAAAUGUGUAAGUAACUAUGCACGUCUUGACGGUACCUAAUCAGAAAGCCACGGCUAACUACGUGCCAGCAGCCGCGGUAAUACGUAGGUGGCAAGCGUUAUCCGGAAUUAUUGGGCGUAAAGCGCGCGUAGGCGGUUUUUUAAGUCUGAUGUGAAAGCCCACGGCUCAACCGUGGAGGGUCAUUGGAAACUGGAAAACUUGAGUGCAGAAGAGGAAAGUGGAAUUCCAUGUGUAGCGGUGAAAUGCGCAGAGAUAUGGAGGAACACCAGUGGCGAAGGCGACUUUCUGGUCUGUAACUGACGCUGAUGUGCGAAAGCGUGGGGAUCAAACAGGAUUAGAUACCCUGGUAGUCCACGCCGUAAACGAUGAGUGCUAAGUGUUAGGGGGUUUCCGCCCCUUAGUGCUGCAGCUAACGCAUUAAGCACUCCGCCUGGGGAGUACGACCGCAAGGUUGAACUCAANGAAUUGACGGGNACCCCCCNAGCGGUGANCAUGUGGNUUUAUUCGANCACGCGAAAANCUUACCAAUCUGACNUCUCUGACCCUCUAANAUAGAGUUUCCCCUNCGGGGAAANANUGACAGGGGUGCAUGGUUGUCCUCNNCUCNUNCCUGANAUGUGGGUUAAUCCCCCACGNCGCACCCUUANCUUANUGCCUCNUANUNGGNCCUCUAGUGACGCC
rnacentral:rRNA from 2 species